GCAAUCAUUUCAGUGGCACAUAUACUAACACUGAAAUGAUACAGAGAAGAUUUAGCUUGCUCUCUGCACAAAGAUGACAUGCUAAUUUGUGAAGCACUCCACAUUUUU
rfam:Tupaia chinensis contig58751, whole genome shotgun sequence.